AUUGAACGCUAGCGGGAUGCUUUACACAUGCAAGUCGAACGAGUGGAGGACGGGUGAGUAAUAUAUCGGAACGUGCCCAGUAGCGGGGGAUAACUACUCGAAAGAGUGGCUAAUACGGCAUAAUAUUGGAACAGCCGAUAUCGGAUUAGCUAGUUGGUGGGGUAACGGCUAACCAAGGCAACGAUCCGUAGCUGGUUUGAGAGGAAGACCAGCCACACUGGGACAAAGACACGGCCCAGACUCCUACGGGAGGCAGCAGUGGGGAAUUUUGCACAAUGGGGGAAACCCUGAUCCAGGCAUCCCGCGUGUAUGAGAAGGCCUUCGGGUUGUAAAGUACUAUUGGCAGAGAAGCGGUAUCAGCAGAAUAAGCACCGGCAAACUACGUGCCAGCAGCCGCGGUAAUUC
rnacentral:rRNA from 1 species